CCAGCAGGUCAGGCGCCCCAGGCCGGAUCGCGGCGCCAUUGCGGCGGCCCCUGCGGAGCGAGUGCGGCCGCGCCUCCCGUCGGGGUAGCCCCGAAUGUGACAUGACAUCUCUGUUGCUUGGUGAGUAAUCCGACGUGUAAACAGGACCUCGAGAAUCGAGCCCCAUUUAAAGAAGACUUACUUAGAAACACUGGAGAGGCCACCAUGGAGUGCAAGGCCGAGGGAAAAGAAAUAUACCAACACAGCUUGAAUUUCCUGAAUAAAAUUAAGAGCAUGAAAGAACUAGCAGAGAUGAUUGAUGUUGUACUCAUCGCAGAAGGGGAGAGAUUCCCUUGCCACAGGCUGGCCCUGGCUGCAUUUAGUCCUUAUUUCAAAGCCAUGUUCACCUGUGGACUACUUGAGUGCACUCAGAGGGAAGUCGUACUUUAUGACAUCACAGCGGAAAGCGUGUCGGUGAUAUUAAAUUAUAUGUACCAGGCGGCUUUGGAGAUCAGUGACGCCAAUGUUCAGACGGUGGCCACGGCCGCCUAUUUCAUGCAGAUGGACGAAGUCUUCGGUGUGUGUCAGAAGUACAUGAUGGACCAUAUGGAUGCCUCGAACUGUCUGGGCAUCUAUCAUUUUGCCAAGCAGAUUGGAGCUGAGGAUUUAGCUGAUCAGUCGUUGAAGUAUGUAUAUCAGCACUUUGCUGAGGUGAGCUUACAUGAAGAGAUACUAGAAAUUGAAGUGCACCAAUUCCUGACGCUUAUUAAAUCGGAUGACCUGAACAUAUCCAGAGAGGAGAGCAUUCUAGACCUAGUUCUGAGAUGGGUAAAUCAUAACCGAGAACUGCGCACAGGGCAUCUCGUGGAACUUCUGAAGCAAGUUAGGUUGCACCUGGUAAGUCCUUCUUUUUUGAGACAGGCCCUGAAAAGGAACACCAUGCUGCUGUGUGAUGCAAAUUGCAUCGACAUCAUUCAAAACGCAUUCAAAGCCAUCAAGACCCCUCAACAGCACCCUCUCAAUCUUCGCUAUGGCAUGGAGACCACCAGUCUUCUGCUGUGCAUUGGCAACAGUUCUUCGGGAAUCAGGUCGAGACAUAGGAACUACGGAGAUGCCAGUUUCUGCUACGAUCCCGCAACGCGCAAGACCUAUUUCAUCUCGUCUCCCAAGCAUGGGGAGGGUUUAGGCACUGUGUGUACCGGUGUUGUCAUGGAAAACAACACUCUCAUUGUGGCUGGAGAAGCAAGUGUCUCUAAACUCUCCAGACAGAAGAGCCAGAAUGUUGAAAUCUACAGGUAUCAUGAUAGAGGAAACCGGUUCUGGGAAAAGUUAUGCACAACAGAAUUUCGAGAGCUCUACGCCCUGGGCACCGUCCAUAACGACCUCUAUGUUAUAGGAGGGCAGAUGAAACUGAAAAACCAGUAUCUGAUUACCAACUGCGUCGAUAAGUACUCGGUAGAACGGGACACCUGGAAAAGGGUGUCCCCCCUUCCACUGCCGUUGGCGUGUCAUGCUGUGGUAACGGUGAAUAAUAAACUUUACGUGAUUGGAGGCCGGACCCCUCAGAUGGAUCUUCCUGACGAAGAACCUGAUCGAUUAAGCAACAAGCUGUGGAAGUACGACCCCAGCCGAGAUCAGUGGACAGAGCAGGCACCCAUGAAGUACUCAAAGUACCGAUUCAGCACAGCUGUGGUCGACAGUGAGCUUUAUGUUCUGGGUAAGAAGGAGCUGAAAGAGUGUGGAAUCGGCUGCAUAGGUCGAGACAAGGGUCAGGUUCGGAAGUGCCUUGACGCGGUGGAGAUCUACAACCCGGACGGGGACUUCUGGAGAGAGGGCCCCCCCAUGCCCAGCCCCCUGCUCUCACUUCGCACCAAUUCUACCAAUGCAGGAGCCGUGGACGGGAAGCUGUACAUCUGCGGGGGCUUCCACGGAGCAGAUCGCCACGAAGUUAUCUCCAAAGAGAUAUUGGAGCUGGACCCCUGGGAGAACCAGUGGAAUGUCGUAGCCGUCAACGCGCUCAUGCACGACAGCUACGACGUCUGCCUGGUGGCGAGGAAGAAUCCCCGUGACCUCAUCCCCCCACCUUCACAGUCAGUGGAGGAGGGUGGGGGGCACUGAGGUCUGUGUCUCUGUGGGACCCCCAAGGCGUCUGCCAAGGCACUAGGGAUGGCGAGCCCACGGCAUCUGUGGGCCGGGUGCACUGCAUGCGUCACAACCCUGUGCGGAGCGGCAUGCGCCGGGCGCCGCAGGGCGUGUGUGCAGAGCCCACCCUCUGGUACCGAGGCUUUGCAGUGUCUUCCCCAAGCUUGGAGGUCUAGUUUCACUUGCUCACAGGAGGCCACGUGCAGAGGCCUCACACUGGGUACCUCAGGUCAGAGAUCCUCCUGGGAAAUGGCCGCCUGCAGAGACGCCGUGAGAGCACAGAUCCCGCGAUCCGCGCCAGCCCCGCGAGAACUACAGGAACCUAUAAAGCAGCGCCGCACCGGCCUUUCAGGGAGAGCGUGUCCCGGGGUGUGAGCCGCCCCCCUCCAUUCUUUUGUCAAAGGAUAAAGCUUUCCUUUGCUUCUGAACUGAACUCGCUCUCAUUCUGCCGGAUCCCAGGACUCGGGGCAGAAGGACCCUUGCCGGGGACCAACUCGAAAGGGUCGGUAACACUGACAGUGCACGGGCUUCUGGGCUGGCAUCAGUUGGCAGCGACACCAUCCUGCAGGAAACCACAGGCCCCAAGCACAAGGAGGCGGCUGCGGGGAAGGGUGGGAACAUUCUAGAAGGUCCAGGAGCUGUUCCUGCAGGCCAAGUCAGCCUGGAUCCAAAGAUGCCUACACAUAGCCCUCUUUCAACCCAGCUGAGAACGUGGGCCUUUCAGGUUUAAAAUAUCAUUUGCCAAAUACUGUGAAUCAAAAUAGAUACAGCCCAUCUUCAGAAACACGGCAAUACACACUGAGAGCUUUAAAAAUGUUUAUUGCUUUUGACCCACCCAGAAAUUCCCACUUUUGGAAUUCUAUCCCAAGUAAAUAAUAGGAUAUGUAGGCAACAUUUUGGUCAUGAAGAUACUCGUCCCAGUGUGAUUUAUAAUAGGAAAAAAACAGUGAACAAUCUAAACCCCUAACUUCAG